UAAACUAGAAUGUAGGGACAACAAACACCAGGUGGGAUUGUGCAGGAACAUAGUGACCCACAACCACCUGGGUUCUGGAUCCUAGAAGGCAGACCCUGUGCCAACCUGACAGACCACAAAUACCUCUUUCCUGAAAAACAGUCAACUGCGAGCUUGGAGUUAACUCUGACAGACAGUGACCUUUCAAUGUUGAAACUGCAAUAUGGCCGGCGCCGUGGCUCACUAGGCUAAUCCUCUGACUGCAGCGUCGGCACCCCAGGUUCUAGUCCCGGUCUGGGCGCUGGAUUCUGUUCCGGUUGCCUCUCUUCCAAGCCAGCUCUCUUCUGUGGCCCGGGAAGUCAGUGGAGGAUGGUCCAAGUCCUUGGGCCCUGCAUACGCAUGGGAGACCAGGAAGAAGCACCUGGCUCCUGGCUUCAGAUGGGCACCACACGCCGGCCAUAGCCGCCAUUUAGGGGGGUGAACCAACGGAAGGAAGACCUUUCUCUCUGUGUCUCCCUCACUGUCUAACUCUGCCUGUCAAAAAAACCCCUGCAAUAUACAUGUUCUCAUUUUCAUUCUGAAAUGAAAUUGUGGAAAAAUAAUUUUGGCUAAAAGGCAACAUCCAGACCAUCCUGUGCCCUACUUUGGUUAACCAUGUCUUUCUUGGUCUUUGGCCUGGGCUGACCUUGAGUAACUAUUGUGUUGGAUAUUUUUGAUGGGUUAUUUAAUUCUAUGUGUAUAUUUUAAAUUCCAGAGAUUAUAUUACUGUCUAGCUUGUUGUCUAACAUCAGUGUCAUGUUUAUAUCAUGAUUAAUAAUUGCUCACUUAAUAUCUAUUUGGAUUCUGAAAAUGCUUCUUCAGUUACUAAUGAAAAUUCCUCACCUACUCUAACCCUAUGCUCUCGCUAAAGCUUAGAGAAGGAAAGGGCUGACUCCGUCUUUUCAGAUGUGUCACAGUUCCAGGACUCUCCCAAAGGGUCUGUCCAGUUGGAAAGCCCCAGCAAACUCGAAGCUGAUAAAAACGCCACCCUGUUCCCCAGCAGAGAAUCCAGAGAAUCUGAGGGGCUGCUGUCUAUGGAAGCGUUGCCUCCUUGGAGCAAAAGAACAAAGUUGUCGUUCACAGAACCCCCUGUUCCUAGCAAAGGAGACUCAAAGGUUGAUAUUUCAGAAGAGGAAUUAGGAAAGAAGGCUGAAAAUGAAAUUGACCAAGCAGCAAAAGAAUCUCAAGGUAAAAAGAUUUUCUGUUGUAUUAGAUGAAAUGUGAAUAAUUAUGCGUUCCCUCUGUAUAAUUAUAAACAAAUUAAGGGAGAGCAUUAUUGUGUAUAUAAGUAACUUCUUAGGUGGUCAUCAGAGAAGAUAGUAUACUGACAAUUACAUAAAAUUAAUUUGGUGAGUUCUCACUGUUAUUCAGAGAGUCUGCUUAAAUUUUAUCUGUGUCAAAGAGAAAUGAUAACUCAAUGAAAUAAUAGUAUUUGGCAUAGUAAAUUCUUAAUAUUAUACCAAAAAUGCAUCUGGGCAUGUCAGGAAAAAGAUUAUUUAUAUGAAUAAUUUUUUCUAGAUUCUUUAAGUGUUAUAUGUUUAAAAGCAAAAAAAUUUAUUAUUUCUAUGAUAAAUGAUUUUAAUAUCAAACCUGUAUUUUAUUGGACUAUAUGAAUGUUCAAGAUGAAAUGUAAUACUUGUGGUGUAGGGUCAGGAGCAUCACUGUUCUAUCGUUCUUUGAAAUGGGAAUGCUUCUCUCAUGUUACUUGUGAUGAUUGGCUACCUGAGAUAAAUAUUUCUUGUUAUGAUCAGAAUAUAUUUUUUAUUUGACAGGUAGAGUUAUAGACAUUGAGAGAGAGAGAGAGAGAGAGAGAGAGAGAGAGACAGGUCUUCCUUCCGUG
rnacentral:lncRNA from 1 species